AGCUUGGUGCAGUGGUUUGAUCACUGACUACAACUCUGGAGACCAGGGUUUGAAUCCCUGCUUGGCCA
rnacentral:tRNA from 1 species